rnacentral:rRNA from 1 species
AUUGAACGCUGGCGGCAGGCCUAACACAUGCAAGUCGAGCGGAAACGAGUUAUCUGAACCUUCGGGGAACGAUAACGGCGUCGAGCGGCGGACGGGUGAGUAAUGCCUAGGAAAUUGCCCUGAUGUGGGGGAUAACCAUUGGAAACGAUGGCUAAUACCGCAUGAUGCCUACGGGCCAAAGAGGGGGACCUUCGGGCCUCUCGCGUCAGGAUAUGCCUAGGUGGGAUUAGCUAGUUGGUGAGGUAAGGGCUCACCAAGGCGACGAUCCCUAGCUGGUCUGAGAGGAUGAUCAGCCACACUGGAACUGAGACACGGUCCAGACUCCUACGGGAGGCAGCAGUGGGGAAUAUUGCACAAUGGGCGCAAGCCUGAUGCAGCCAUGCCGCGUGUAUGAAGAAGGCCUUCGGGUUGUAAAGUACUUUCAGUCGUGAGGAAGGCGGCGUCGUUAAUAGCGGCGUUGUUUGACGUUAGCGACAGAAGAAGCACCGGCUAACUCCGUGCCAGCAGCCGCGGUAAUACGGAGGGUGCGAGCGUUAAUCGGAAUUACUGGGCGUAAAGCGCAUGCAGGUGGUUUGUUAAGUCAGAUGUGAAAGCCCGGGGCUCAACCUCGGAAUAGCAUCUGAAACUGGCAGACUAGAGUACUGUAGAGGGGGGUAGAAUUUCAGGUGUAGCGGUGAAAUGCGUAGAGAUCUGAAGGAAUACCGGUGGCGAAGGCGGCCCCCUGGACAGAUACUGACACUCAGAUGCGAAAGCGUGGGGAGCAAACAGG